rnacentral:lncRNA from 1 species
ACAGGGUCGCGGGGAACCGGAGCCUACCCGGUAAGACAGGGCGUAAGGCCGGAGGGGGAGGGGACGCACCCAGGACGGGACGCCAGUCCGCCGCAAGGCACCCCAAGCAGGGCUCGAACCCCAGAGCCACUGGAGAGUAGGACCUGGUCCAACCCACUGCGCCACCGCACCCCCCAUGCAACUCAAACAAAAGAAUCUGGAUGACACCUGCAGAAAUUACCCUUCCAGCAAUUGGAAACUACCAUCCGUGUCUCACUUAACCCCAUGCUUCUCAGAGACUCACAAUGGACAUGGACCAGAGGUACUGUAAAUGAUGUAUGUGCAUGGAUUUAAGAGGCCUUGUAGUGCUUUGAUUUCCUAAAGAAUGUGAAAACUGGAACAAAUUCACCUGUUAGCCUUUAUUGCAAAAGAGAAUUAAGGGUAACGUGGGUUAAUUAUGACACCCAGACUGCAAGCUAACGUUACAAAGGAAAACGUAUGUUUGCGUUUACACUAGUGCAUUGUUUUCAUUUAUGUCGGUAUUGUUAAAGUUGUGUUAACCUCAAUAUUCACCAGACAAAAAACUCGCAAGAAUAUAAAGAGAAAUAUAGAGAGGGUCAUUAAAACCUGUAAGUCUGGUUAAACUGGAUAGCUAUUCUGUGAGUACCGGUUCGGCCUUUCGUUUCACAAAGAGAGGUUCGAUCACGUUCGUAUAAAUAUAACAAAAUAUAACACUCAUAGCUAACAAGAUGUAAAAAUGUUGACUUUAUUAGGUACAAUACAGGACCAAGAUUUUGAGUGACUUACCAGUGUUCUGCAGGAACAUUAUGAUCAGUAAAUGUGGAACGGAAUGGAACAAGUGAUUUUCCACAAAAGAUCCAGUCCCAACUUCUGUGUGCAGAAACUAGAGCGUGACCAGGCCAUUUGAAUAUGAAAUGGCUGCAGACUUUGUUUCAGCCACCUUGUACCGUGCAACAAACAAAG